rnacentral:rRNA from 1 species
AGGACGAACGCUGGCGGCGUGCUUAACACAUGCAAGUCGAGCGGUAAGGCCCUUCGGGGUACACGAGCGGCGAACGGGUGAGUAACACGUGGGUAACCUGCCCUGUACUUUGGGAUAAGCCCGGGAAACUGGGUCUAAUACCGGAUACGACUCACGGACGCAUGUCUGUGGGUGGAAAGUUCUGGCGGUACAGGAUGGGCCCGCGGCCUAUCAGCUUGUUGGUGGGGUGAUGGCCUACCAAGGCGACGACGGGUAGCCGGCCUGAGAGGGCGACCGGCCACGACUGGGACUGAGACACGGCCCAGACUCCUACGGGAGGCAGCAGUGGGGAAUCUUGCACAAUGGGCGAAAGCCUGAUGCAGCGACGCCGCGUGAGGGAUGACGGCCUUCGGGUUGUAAACCUCUUUCGGCAGGGACGAAGCGCAAGUGACGGUACCUGCAGAAGAAGCACCGGCUAACUACGUGCCAGCAGCCGC